rnacentral:misc_RNA from 1 species
AAGUCGUAACAAGGUUUCCGUAGGUGAACCUGCGGAAGGAUCAUUAUCACGUUAUCCACGUAUCAACCAUUUGUGAACCGUACUCCAACCUCUGGUCUUUUUUUCGUUUGUGUUAUGCAAAUGGGGAAGGAUCAGAGCGUAUUAACCCUUUUUUAUAUUAACCAUUCUAACCAAAUCUUUAUAACUUCAUGAACUAAUCUUUAUUUUAUACUCUUCGGAGAUAAAAUUCAUUACGAAACAAAGAACAACUCUUAGCAACGGAUAUCUUGGUUCUC